CGCUCUCAGAAUUUAUACCAUUGAGAGUCGGGCCUGCCCGGUGAUUGGUUUUAAACGGCUGCUAUGAAUAGUAGUACUAAGGUAGCGCAAUAAAUUGUCUUUUAAUUGGAGAAGGGAAUGAAUGGUUUGACGUGGGAAAAGCUGUCUCGGCUUCGAAGGCAGAAGUUAACCUCUAGGUGAAAAGGCCUAGAUAAAAAAAAUAGACGAGAAGACCCCUUUGAGCUUGGUAGUAGUUUUUUCUUAUUUGAAAAAGGUAUAAGUUUUACUGGGGUAGUAGGGAGAAAAAUUAACUUUCCAUUAUAUUAAUACUGAUCCUUUAUUAAAGAAAAAAGGAAAAGUUACCACGGGGAUAACAGCGUAAUUUUUCUGGAUAGUGCUUAUUGAAGGAAAAGUCUUCGACCUCGAUGUUGAAUUAAGGUAUCUUCCAGGUGCAGCCGCUUGGGUAGUAGGUCUGUUCGCCCUUUAAAACUUUACA
rnacentral:rRNA from 1 species